AAGGAAGAAAGUUUUAUAUUUCUUUGACACAUACAUAUCUACAUAUUAUGUUUAUAUCGAUACAAAGUUCAAGUUUUUAGAAGUACUGUAGCAGACUCAUCGGAUAGACUGUAUAGCAUACAUUAAAAAUCUCUGAGAAGUACAACUCCUGUUGAAGGAAUAUCUUUCUUUGAUGGAAAAUUUUUAAAAACGAAUUUUUAUACUUCAAAACAACUAAACCCUUUGAAUGGACAAAAAUUGGCGGUGGUUAACAGAGCUCUAACUCUACUUUUCUUGACUAGGUAGCUUCAAUAAGCACCAUCCAAAGAUGAAUAGCCGCCACUUUUCUAUAUGGAAAUAUGGUGGCCAAGAAAAUAAGCUUACUAUUUAGAUUAUACUGUGUUAGCCUGUACAGGUAGUGUGGAGUCAGGUCAUUGUGUGUAGAGUCAUGUGAGUGAAAAUGGAGAAAGAUCAGAUUUCUCGAGCAGAUUGCGUAAUGUUGGUCAGAAAGGGUGCAGUGAAAUCGUAUAGCUUUUGCAUGAUAAUUGGUACUAAGUCAACCAUAUUUUCCGGGUACUUUUUGAGCAGAAGACUUUUUUAUUGAGGGUGUUUCGUACUAACAUGCCUUAAUUUAAACAGAUGAUUCGGGGUCCAAGAAACGAAAAUAUAGAAAUGACUCAGAGGAAGGGUGAUUGUUCAAUACUUACCGAAAAGCAGGUUAUCACAUAGUCGUUCAUCCGAAAAAUAUCGUAUAUCUCAAAAACGUUUCGUUAAAAAUGCUU